rnacentral:lncRNA from 1 species
ACAUCUGAGAAAACUUUUUGUUUGUCUGCCAUAACCAGAGCAGCAUGUCCCAGAUAGAAGCUGUUCCAUCAGCCUCAUUUCCAGAAUGAAGAGGAAUGAAUGGAAAGCAGAGAUGCAGUUAAAGCAUACUGGUUUUACCACACUUGGAAGUAAUCUCUCACCUUCUGAACAACCAUGACAUCCCUCCAAAAUGUCCAUCCCCCACUGGUGGUUACUCUGAAAUAUUACUCAGUCUACUGAGCAGUGAAAGCUGACUCAAGGUAGAAGAAAAGGCAAUGCAGAGAAAAGAAAUUGCAUGAACAAUGGCAUGGAUGUUUUGGAGAGAAAUGAGUGGAUUGGUGUAAUGAAGCAUGCACUAUGACACAAAAAUGGGUAAGAGUUGUCAGGAAAUGUGGCUCGAGUGGUAAGAGUGAACCAAGGUUCUAUAUAAACCCAUAAACUCACACUAAGCAAUGGGAACUCCACCCUUUAGCAAUGGGCCGUCAGUGAAGAGGCAGAAAAUUCACUGACAGCCAGUUGGAAGAUAGUGAGGGAUAGCUGUUGGAAGCAGGGAGAAUAAUUUAGACAGUAGUGAUGUUCCAGAAAAGAGGCUGAACACUGAAACAGAGGUGAGCAGGGAGAAAGUUUAAAGAUAUAGUCUCAUUCAAUUUAUAAGUUUCUAGUCCUGAUGAAAUACUCCGAGUCAAAGUGAAGAAAUGGAUGACGAGGAUGUGUCUUACAAAAGAGAAGAGAAACAUGUGACAGCUUUAGGUGAAUAAAAAAUUUUCAUCCUAUGAAAAAGAUGACAUUCAUUCUUGGGAAGAUGCAACUCUAAGGCCCUGAGCUCUUGAUUCAGAAUACAUGGAUUUAAAACUACUCUUGGAGUUCCCAUUGUGGCUCAGUGGUAUUGAACCCAACUAGUAUCCAUGAGGACAGGGUUCAAUCCCUGGCCUUACUCAGUGUGUUUAGGAUCUGGUGUUGCCAUGAGCUGUGGUGUAGGUCAUAGACGUGGUUCAGACCUGGCGUUGCUAGGCUGUGGCAUAGGCCAGUUGCUGCACUUCUGAUUAGGCCCCUAGCCUGGGAACUUCCAUAUGCUACAGGUGCAGCCCGAAAUAGCAAAAAAAAAAAGGGGGGGGGGGGAGAGGGACUGUCAUGAGGAUUAAAUGAGAUAAUGCAUGUAAAACUCAAGAGUACCUGGCACAUCUUAAAGCCUCAAGAAGAAUCACACCUUAGAAGUGGUAGUAGACAUUACCAACCUCCAAAGAUGCAUUGACAGCCAAUUCAUCCUAUUUACCCUAAAACAUUCAGAUUAUCUGUUUUGCUUUUUUUUAAUGGAUGUGGAAUCCCAAGAGGAUCAAUUAAACAUAGAAGCAGUCCAUUUUUAAAAGAAAGUCUUUUUGUUGCUGUUGUUAUAUUCAAAAAUUUAUUCAAUCAGUGAAAGAGAAAGAGAUCAAUGUCUACAGCCUUAAAAAUAGGAUGCAAUUAAGUGCUUCUAACAAGGCUCCAGUAGUCUGAUGGUAAGUGUAGAAAGACCAGCUUAAUGAAAUGUCAUGGGGACACUGCUUAUAACAAUCAUAUGCCCUGGAUGCCAAAUGGAGCUGUACCUGCUGGCAAAACAGUUAUAGGGGAAAAGAACAAAAGCCUGCCAGCUGUUAAGAAAUAGAACAGAAUGAGGCUCAGGGCCCUAGGGGAAGGUGGAAAAUUAACACAGCCUCUGUGUCUUACUUAUGUUUUCCUUACCACUGUGCUUUUCUUUUCUGGAUUUAAAAUUGUGCAUUGCCCACUAGGUGGGGGCUCUUUUAGAAAAGUAGCAUUGGACCUAGCCUGGACAUUGCAAAUUUGGAGAUCAGGGUGGGAAUAAGAUUGUAUAGAACCAGGGAUGAGGUGUACCUUGCAAGGCUUUAUAGCUAUUCUUAUCAUUUGCUUCAUUAUUUCCCCCUGAAUUCACUUUUUAUUCCUCUGUGGCCAGUUAACUUACCUUAGGCUUCUGCUCAUUCAUGUCUCUCUCAAAGGAAAGCGUGUAUGAGACAUCAUCUCUAAAUAGUUCAUCUAAAAUUUUUCUCUCUCAAAUCUCCCAGGGAUUUUCUUGCAUUACCCCACUUCAUUUUCCUUACAGCAUGUAUCUGUUUAUAAGACACCAUUCAUUCAUUUUUUUGGAUUGUUUACUGAUCUGUUAUUUGUCUUGCCCUCUGUGAUGCAAGUUCCAUGUGAACACAAAGCAUGUAUCCCUGCUCUGUGUACCACUGGAACCUCAGCCAUCACUGCAAUAUCUAGCAUACAUUCAAUGCUUGAGAUAUAUGCAGACUGAAUUUUUUGACCUAUAAACAUAAAUUAUUUUUGAUGCUGCCUGGCACACCUACUUUAUGUCCUACUCUCAGAGAUUAUUUAUUACUUACCUUCUCCAUUUGCCUCAUUGUUUACUUUAAUUAAAGUUGCUUUUAUAUUUUUGUCUUUUAGUCUUUGCGCUGUUUAUAUAUAUAUUUUUUACCUCUUUGAGCAUUAUGAACAUACUGCUAAUUUUGUCACAUUCAUCAUUUCUGAGUCUAUGUCUUUAGACUGCUUUUUCUCUUGGUUAUUGCAUGCCUUUUUAUAUACUCGAUUUUGUGAAUUUAUUAAAAUAAAACUUUAUUGACAUGCAGUCACAUUCAUUUGUUUAUAUAUUUAUCUACUUUAUUUUUUUUUAUCUAUUUUUCCUUUUUAUGGCCACAUCUGUGGCAUAUGGAAGUUCUUGGGUCAGGGGUCGAAUCAGAACUGCAGCUGCUGGGCCUGCACCACAGCCACAGCAAUGCCAGAUCUGAGCCACAACUAUGACCUAUGCCACAGCUUGUGGCAACACUGGAUAUUUACCCCACUGAGCAAGGCCAGGGAUCAAACCCACAUCCUCACAAACACUAGGCUGUGUUCUUAACCCACUGAGCCACAAAGAGAACUUCUGUAUUUCAUGUUUGGAUUGCUCUUUUUUUUUUUUUUUUUCAGUUGAGUAAAGACUUGAAGAUAUAUUUUUCCUGAGGUUUUAUUUUAAUCUUUUUUAGGAAGAUCUCUAGUACCUUUAUUAAAGGACUGAUUUUUUUUUUCUUUUUUGAGGCCUGUAGAAGUUUCCAGGCCAGGGAUUGAACUUGCACCAAGCCUUUACCUGAACCACAGAAGGGACAUUGUCAGAUCAUUAAUCACCAGGCUACCAGGGAACUCCCUAAAGGACUAAUUUAAUCUCAUUUUACAUCUUUGCUUUCUGGGUCAUCUACUGAAUGCUUGCUUAUUCGAGAAGAUAUUUCCACUUUAUCUGGAGGAAAGAUAAAUAUUUCCCGGCUCUGUGUAAGCUCUGGACAUUGUUUUUCUUAUUGUUCUAUGGUUAUUAUUAUUUCCUUAGUAUUUUUUUUUCCCUUGCUCAGAACAGUAAUGCUUUACUCAUUAACAGAUUUGUAGACAAGCAGAACUUUGUCCAGACCUAUGGACCUCUCAUUCAGCUUCAUUCUCUCUUCUCUGGAAGUCUUUUCUGCAAAUUCUAGCUAGCAUGACUUUCCUAAACUCUGAUCUCUCGCUACUCAUCUCAUUGAGAUCACUGUCUAAUGUGUGAUUUACUACCACCUCUCUGCAGCCUGGCAGUUGCCUCUAGGCAGUAACCCAGGGCCAUCAAGAGAUCACCUCCUUUUGUUCCUUUGUUUUUUUCCUGAAAUUAUCAGGGCUGCACUGAUAUUUUCUAAUGUCUGAAAGACAUUAGUUUGUAUAUUUAGUCUGAGUCUCCAUUUGUUGGAGAGAAAUCUCUUUAAUAGUUCAUGAAUGGAAAUAGAAGCCCACUCCUUUUUUGAAACACUUUUCUCCCAACCUGGUGUUAGUGACACUAUACCCUUUUAUUUUACCUAUUACCACAUAAGCUGGAUAAUGAAGCUUGCCCUCUAAGCUCUUCAGUAUAUUAUUCCUUGUAUAUUAUUCCUUACAGUGACAUAAAAUAACACAGUUAUUGGAGGAAGAAUUUAUCAAGUUGUUGUCUUUUGCAUGUUGAACAUGCAAAAAGUAUUCAAAUAAUAAAAUAAUUUCAAAAAUUUAAAAAGUAUAUUCCUCAUAUUUUCAUAAUUGGAUAGCCCCCCACCAAAUGGUGAAAUCUGUGAAUUUUUUCUUUGCAACCUCCUGGAUCAUCAUGCCACCUCCUAUCUGCUAACGCCCCUCACCACUCCUGCUGAAGAUUCAGCCACCUUGGCCUGUUCUUAUCUCAGAAACCAGCUUUCACAUUUUUUUUUUCUUAAACUGAUCUUAUUUCCAAUGAGCCUAGAUAGUUCCUAGUGCAUUUCUACAUACAUAUAAGCUGUAACUUUUACUGAUAAUAUUACAUUUGAAUAAGGACAUUUCCAUUUGGAUUCUUCAUUAGACACAAGAUCAUAUCCUGGUCCUACCAUACCACAUAUAUCUGCUGAUUUUUUCCUAUAUGACAUGGGACAAGUCAAGUAACUUUACCUAGCCUUAGUUUAUACAUUCACAAGCACAAGCUUAAAAGCCCCUUCAUAUUUUUGAUUAAAAGUUUAUGAAUAUAGAAUGAUCAACAGAUAUCUGGAAAAGUGUAGAUGUUCAUUACCUCUGGGUUUCUUUGUUCUUUGCAAGUAUUCUGAAAACUUCACCAACCUUUGAAUUUAAUCUAGUCUCACAUUACUUGCGUUCAUGAACCAUCUUUCCCAUAGUUAGUUACAGGAAGGAUUUUAAUCUGUAUCUUACUUCUUCCUUUGUUUCAGCCUUAGCUCUUUAUUUAACUGCCAGGUUUCCUCCUUAUUUGAAAUAUUAGGUAGAAAGAACACAUAUUAAAUAUAAAGAAUAAGGCACUUGAUUUUUCUUUAAAGGCUUAGGGAAACCAAAAUACUUUUGAUUGUCAGCUUAGAAAACCCAUAGUGACAGAGGCUUCAACUGGGUUAAGAACUUUGAGAUCAUAGUUGCAUGACCCAAAUUUCCCAAUACCUAGAAGGUGUAAGUACCUGUGUCUUCAGGACACGUGCUCAUUUUGAACCAGCUAAAUUGGCUCAUAAUGAAGGUCUCUGCCCUUGUUCCAAGUGUAUUUUUUUCUUAGUUUAUCUUUCAAUUGAACUUGACCAGAGCUGCAUAAGCUCAUAUAUUUGACCACCCUCUGAUACUAUAUUCACUGCUGACAAAUAUGUUAGGAAAUUCCAUACAGCAGGUAAAAAAUGUCAGAUUCAGUAAACGGUCAUUUUACCCAUAAACUGUAUCAUCUUUUAAUCUUAUCCUCAAAUCAAAUUAUUUAAGCAUAGCUCCCUAAGGACAGGCAACUAAUGUUGAGUAUAUUUUACUCAAAGCCUAUGUCAACCAACCAAAACAUGAUAAUCAUAAUAAAAUGGCUUAAGAAACUUUCCUCUUAAGCAUGCAGUAUGUAAAUUCUUAUCUAUUGAACUAGAAAGUAGGACACUCCACUUUCUGGGUUAAG